rnacentral:lncRNA from 1 species
UCACAUAUCCUUCCCAGAAAACCAUUGUACAGAUCCAAACGUGGAAACAAGUCAAUUUCUAGCAAAAACAAUCCAACCCAGAAACAAACUCGGCAAGUCAAAGCUGCAUUACAGCUAAAGAUCUUAACUUGGACAAGCUCCUUCACUCGUGAAAAUAAAAUUCAGAACUGUUCACUUGAUAAGCAGACACAAGAAGAAACAAAAAUAACUAACAGCUUCACAUAUGUUUGUUCACAUUAUUCUAAUACUUGGAAAAAAACCAAAAUAAAGAAAAACAAAAAUAGAAAUUCAUUAAACGGCGUUGAAUUCCAAAAACCUGAAAUUGUGAAGAUUUUGAAACUUCCCCACAAGUUCUCAGAAACCAAAUUCAAAGAUAACCCAUAAUAGAUUCUAGAACGAUAGCUUACCGGGAUACCCAGACGCUAUAAAUGUUUUCAGCGCAUUGCUCGAUCAGAUCUAGGGCAUAAUCCGAACGGGAUUAAACAGUGGUGACAGUUGUGAGAUUCCAAAGAUCUCCAAAA